UCUGACCUUUUAGGUUUCAAUAAAUUGAUCAGCAAGGUGCCUGGGGCAUUCACAUUCCUGUCGACACACCAGGGGAGCAGCUUCCUCUCCAAACCAGUCCUGAACUAUAUCUCAGCCCUGUCAACAUGGAAAGGACAGGUAAAAAAAGCCCUGGAACAGCCCUGAUUCUCCUUAAAGCCCGUUCCUGUACUCAUAGAGAACACGCAAGACUCCCGCCACACUCUGAACACCCUAAGUCUCUCUCGGUCGCAGAAGCAUGGUGGGGCAGGUCAGGAGCUGGAAGAUAAACUGGAAUACCCUAACUUAUGUAGCCCUAUUGGCAACAAUAAGUGGUUUGGAUUAUUUGGCCACUACCAAAACUGUGACUGCUCUCAUAGCUGAUGUCCUACUUGGAAAUAAUAUAGAGUUGGUGCUAGGUACCCUGAGCUCCUGGACUGAAGAACUAUUUUAUGAACUGGACACUCAACUCUACCAUAUCCAAAUCCCAGAUGCCUGCAAAUUAAGAAGAAAUAAAAGUACUAAGAUUGUGACAAAAUUUUUUCAUCUUUAAUGUAUUUGUUCAUAAGAAAAAAAUUAAAGCAGAGAGAUGAACCCAGAGCCAGCUCCUCCACCAAAGCUGUGGAAAACCAAGAAGCCCUGAAGACCUGUGCACUGGUCAGCCAGCUUAUGAAUUCAGUCCAAGACAAGGUCAAUAAUCUCCUUGCCAAUGGUGUAGUGGCCAUGGGUAUAGUUAGUGGUCACAUCUUCCUUGCCUGUGAUGAGCUGCUCGGGAUGGAGGACCUAGAAGUAAGUACCAGUGUGAACUUCAUCAAUAACUGUGGGUUCCAGGUCUGUGAACACUGCCUGGGGCACAUGCUUGCCAGCACCUGUCUCAUUGAAGAAGGUGUUGAAGGAGUCAUCUCCUCCUGCUAUGGUCUUGACACUUGGCAUCUGGCCAUCAGACUGAAUGCCAUGCUUCAGAUAGUAAAGCUCCCAGCAGGCGUUGCCAAUCUGGACACCUACCUGGCCAGUACGGAUGGAGAUGCACUCAUAUCGAAAAUUUCCUUGGGGGCCUGCCCUGAGGAGAUGUCUCCCAGAGUCCUGGGGAAGACACUAUGAAUGGUCGAGAUCAUCCGAGGGAAUAAAUCUAAAGGCACUGA